rnacentral:lncRNA from 1 species
GGGCAGGACCGGUUGCCGAGAGGAAGCACUGUGUGGUGGGACUGCUGCCCGGCCUACGCGGGGGCCAGGAGGACGUGGACCGUGUCUCGGGAGACACCAGGCAGGAUGCGCUGCGGACACGCGCCCUGGCGCUUUGUCGUGCCCAUGCAUGUCGUGCGCAACGACCUGUUGCCCGGAGUCAGUUGGUACCAUAGUCUCGGUGGAGGACCAGGCUUGGGGCCUGAUAGGGGCGGGCGCUGGGAUCUCGCUAAAGAACAGCAAAGGACACCUGUCUCUGGCAGGAAUAUUGGCUUCAGGGAAGGCUAAAACUUGGAGACAGGGACGCAGACCAUUGGAAUCUAAAAGCCUCUCAGAUGUCAGACCCAAAGUAGGCAGGAUCAGCCAUCAGGAGUAAAAAGGAAGGCCACCAGGGUUAAGGGAGAGGCACCAAGAGCUACUGACACUACUGAGCAAGAGGGAUCCGUGAGUGUCUGUUUGCGGUGCUUGGUCUGAGGGUAGAGCCGUGCCAAGAGCCAGGCUAUGGUGACAAGAGGGUGAACUCUUCAGCAAACUCCUGGCCCUAAUGACCCGAGGCCCUCAUGCUGGCCUAUAGAUGCAUGGGGGACAGACAGCUCAAGAUGCCCUAACACCAUCCUCUGUAUCCAUCCUCUCCCACCCCUUGAUCCUCUCUCUGUUAUUAGGUUGAGGACAAAAUAGCAGGCUGGAGAGUUCUGUGGGAAAUAAGGUGGCUAGAUAGCAGCUCUUAAAAUGGAAGGAAGGUACUGUAGCAAACAACAAAGAUUAUUAGCAUUGAAUUUACUUUAGGACCAAGGUGGAUGCAUUGUGCACACUUCCUUGUGGCUCUCCAUAUGCCCAAUAUGCAGAUAAGGAAACUUGCAGUGUCCCCUUGAAAUAGAAAGAUGGAGAUUACUGCUCCCACACCCAGAGCUGUUAACAAUCUGGGAAUGUGGAAACCAGAACCACCUCCCUCCCAGCCUGGGUGUGAGCCACAGAUGUCUGACCUGUGGGGCAGGAUUAAGAAUAACAGGUGCUCUGAUGGCGCCCUGAAAAAAACAAAAGAGGAACCUCAUGCGGUCAUAAACAGUCCUGUAUAGACACUGAAAGAACUCCUUAGUAUUGGUUGAAGUGCCUCUCUGACCAAGCCCACAAUCACUCCAGGGCCAGGGCUGUCCAGAGCUGUAAAGGAGAAGGGUG